rnacentral:rRNA from 1 species
GGGGGGGGCAAGCGUUGUUCGGAAUUACUGGGCGUAAAGGGCUCGUAGGUGGCCAACUAAGUCGGACGUGAAAUCCCUCGGCUUAACCGGGGAACUGCGUCCGAUACUGGUUGGCUUGAGUUUGGGAGAGGGAUGCGGAAUUCCAGGUGUAGCGGUGAAAUGCGUAGAUAUCUGGAGGAACACCGGUGGCGAAGGCGGCAUCCUGGACCAAUACUGACGCUGAGGAGCGAAAGCCAGGGGAGCAAACGGGAUUAGAUACCCCGGUAGUCCUGGCCCUAAACGAUGAAUGCUUGGUGUGGCGGGUAUCGAUCCCUGCCGUGCCGAAGCUAACGCAUUAAGCAUUCCGCCUGGGGAGUACGGUCGCAAGGCUGAA